rnacentral:tRNA from 1 species
GCCGAAAUAGCUCAGUUGGGAGAGUGUUAGACUGAAGAUCUAAAGGUCCUGGUUCAAUCCGGGUUUCGGCA